rnacentral:rRNA from 1 species
UAAUACGGAGGGUGCAAGCGUUGCUCGGAAUUACUGGGCGUAAAGCGCGUGUAGGCGGUCUCGUAUGUCUGAUGUGAAAUCCCCGGGCUCAACCCGGGAAGUGCAUUGGAAACUGCGAGACUGGAGUCCCGGAGAGGAAGGUGGAAUUCCAGGUGUAGCGGUGAAAUGCGUAGAUAUCUGGAAGAACACCGGUGGCGAAGGCGGCCUUCUGGACGGUGACUGACGCUGAGACGCGAAAGCGUGGGGAGCAAACAGGAUUAGAUACCCUGGUAGUCCACGCCAUAAACGAUGGGCACUAGGUGUCGCGGGUAUUGACCCCUGCGGUGCCACAGCUAACGCAUUAAGUGCCCCGCCUGGGGAUUACGGCCGCAAGGUUA